rfam:Triticum urartu cultivar G1812 contig775356, whole genome shotgun sequence.
UUUGUAUUCUCUCUGUUCCGAAUUACUUAUCUUGGAUUUGUCUAAAUACAGAUGUAUCUAGACUCAUUUUAAUACUAGAUACUUCCGUAUCUAGACAAAUCUAAAACAAGUAAUUUGAAACGGAGAAAGUAGUUA